rnacentral:rRNA from 1 species
CCUACGGGAGGCUGCAGUGGGGAAUAUUGCACAAUGGGCGCAAGCCUGAUGCAGCCAUGCCGCGUGUGUGAAGAAGGCCUUCGGGUUGUAAAGCACUUUCAGCGGGGAGGAAGGCGGUGAGGUUAAUAACCUCAUCGAUUGACGUUACCCGCAGAAGAAGCACCGGCUAACUCCGUGCCAGCAGCCGCGGUAAUACGGAGGGUGCAAGCGUUAAUCGGAACUACUGGGCGUAAAGCGCACGCAGGCGGUCUGUCAAGUCGGACGUGAAAUCCCCGGGCUCAACCUGGAACUGCAUUCGAAACUGGCAGGCUAGAGUCUUGUAGAGGGGGGUAGAAUUCCAGGUGUAGCGGUGAAAUGCGUAGAGAUCUGGAGGAAUACCGGUGGCGAAGGCGGCCCCCUGGACAAAGACUGACGCUCAGGUGCGAAAGCGUGGGGAGCAAACAGGAUUAGAUACCCUAGUAGUC